rnacentral:lncRNA from 1 species
GGCCACACCUGUGGCAUAUGGAUGUUCCCAGGCUAGGGGUCUAAUCAGAGCUGCAGCUGCCAGCCUACACCACAGCCACAGCAAUGCCAGAUCCAAACUGUGUCUGCGAUCUACACCACAGCUCUCGGCAACGCCAGAUCCUUAACCCACUGAACAAGGCCAGGGAUCGAACCCGUGUCCUCAUGGAUACUAGUCAGACUCAUUACCCACUGAGCCACGAUGGGAACUCCUUGGUCUCUACUUUUAAAAUUAUCUUUUUAGAUUAUUCUCUGACCACAAUGAGGUCAUAUUGAGCAAAAAUACUAUGCCUUUCUGAGUUGUGCAUUCACCAUGAUCUGUGGGUAUCAGAACCCAAUUCAUAAGUAAUUUUAGUCCCAUUUCACAGAGAAGAAGACUGAGCAAACCAAUGCGGGUAACUCACCCAAGGUCAUGCCACAACCUGUCUGCAGGGAUUGACUACCGUUUGUAUCUCUCACAAACCCCUUUCCCUCCCACUUCCCUCAUAUACAUAUGACUUCAUUAGCCUUUCAAGAAGGAGUGAGUGGAACAGCAGGUAAAACCCCAAUCACUCUGUUUGGCUCUUAGUCAGUGUGUCUGGUAAGAAAUCACUGGUGGAGGAGGAGACUCCGCAAAUGGCUUUCCAUUCCUCCACGCUGUUGCCCUCCAUCAUCUGCGUGGUUAAUUGCAACCUUGCUCUUAGAGAACUGCUGGCCACCACUAAGGCUGCUGCUCCACUGAGUGCAUAUCCAUCAUCAAAGCUGCUUAAGAGUUGGCGUGGGUAGGGAGCACACCCAGAUGUGAUAAAGCAGGGUCGAGCCACAGACUCAUUCAGCCAGGGGACAAGCCGUGCGCCAUGCUUCCUGUCUCCCUCCUUUGCAGAGAUGUGGCAGGGAGUGUAAUAAAAAGUAAUGAUGUGGAAGAAAGCAUGCUGUUGCCUUCCAAGGGUCAAGUCAGUACAAUUUGUGCAAGGUCCUGACAUUUUCACUCUUUUUCAGGACAGAAAUACUGAACUAAAAGAAUACCAUGUCAAAGGGGGGAAAGAAAGACAGAGACCAGGGUCACUUCAAACACUUUAAAAUAGAUCUCGGACAAAGCAUCCCAAUAUAUCAUGAGGAUUGCCUUACAGAGCAGGAAAGGAAGUUUGUAGGCACUGCCGCAGAGCUCUACCUCUCUGAGUGACCAUGGAUUUGCUCUUCUUCAUGACUGUGGGCCAUUCUCGUGAGCAGCUAUACAUCACCUCUCACUUUUACAAAAGCCAUUUUCUAAUGGGGCAGGUGGGUUCUUGCUAAUUCUGAUAAAGAGACCUAUUACUUCAUGAAGUGAUCCAAAGGACCGAAUCUGUGUUUUCAGAAGGAGAAAAGGCAUAGGCCCACGUGGGAACACAGACUAUAGGUAAAGAUGGCAAUUUGUAAAAACAUGUUCAGAGUUUCCAAAUGUCUGAUGUUUCCCUGAGAUAGAGUGGAACUUUGCAUCCUCCAAGUUGCAAUAAUUAUUGCUGGGACCUCCUUGGAUAGAAAAAGGGUCUUUUAAAGUCUUGACUGCAGGGUUUAUUUAGAUAUUAUCACACAGCUGGUGACCUAAGAGCCAAUAGAACAUGCUAUUUGCAACCUUAGAAAAUAAUCUCUUCAUUUGUUUCCAUAACUACACAGACACCUACUUUAUAAGGUUAUUGGCAGGAUUUCAUAGGUCACAAGUGUCUAACAUGUGGAUAGAAUUAUGUAUUGGAAGGGGGGUGCCCUUCGUGGCUCAGUGGUUAACAAACCUGACUAGUAUCCAUGAGGACGCAGGUUCAAUCCCUGGCCUCAUUCAGUGGGUAAAGGAGCCAUCGUUGUUGUGAGCUGUGGUUUAUGUCACAGACACAGCUCAGAUCCAGCAUUGCUGUGACUGUGGGCAUGGGCUGGGGACUGCAGCACCGAUUCGUCCCCUAGCCUGGGAACUUCCAAAUGUCUCAGGUGCUGCCCUAAAAAGAAAAAAAAAAAAAAGUUACAGCUUUAGGCAUUUUCAUUUGAGGAGUACAAAGCACCCUUACCCACACCAAAAACCUCCCUAAUUGGAAUUGUCAUUAUCAGUGAUUAUGUUAAUACUCUACAUUUGCUUAGUGACUUCAGGUUUAUAAAGCCCUCAUUGUAUUUACCGAAGUAUAGUUGAUUUACAAUGGUGUGUGAAUUCCUGCUGUACACCAAGGUUAUACAAGUAUGUACAUUCAUUUUUAUAUUCUUUUCCAUUACGGUUUAUCAGAGGAUAUUGAAUUUAGUUCCCUGUGCUAUACAGUAGGACCUUGCUGUUUAUCCAUUCUAUACAUCAUCGUUUGCAUCUGCUAACCCCAAACUCCCAAUCCAUCCCUUCCCUACCUCUCUCCCCCUGGGCAACCGCAAGUCUGUUCUCUACAUCUGUGAGUCUGUUUCAUAAAUAAGUUUCAUUUGGGUGAUAUUUUAGAUUCUACAUAUAACUGAUAUCACAUGAUAUUACAAAGCCUUCGUUUUAAUCAUAUUUAACCCACUCUAAAAUUCUGUGAAGCUACCUAAUAUGAUACUACUAGGUAAAAGUCUCCAGUCUUUUAAAUUAAGAUAUACGUUUCUAAAAGCCUCCUUUUAAAAUUUUCAGUAAGGUCAACACCGGUGGGAAUUUACUACGACUAUAAAGGCAGCACAUUAUGAUCAAGAUUUUUUUUCUUACUUUUUACCACUUUUUUAUGAUCAAGAUUUAUUUCUCUUUUUGCCAUGCUUCUGUUCAUCCUAUAAAAGAAACGAAACUGAGAUUGUUUUUUAAUCCCAUAGGGAACAUUGCAAGGGUAAUGAUCUUGGAAUAGCACAGUCUUAUUUUUAGCAAUGAACAUUAUGUUUUUAGGUGAAGAUGUAUUGCAUUCACUCAUUCAGCAAAUAACUUGUUGAGCACCCAUGCCAGGCACUUUGCCAGGCAGUAGAGACACACUGGUCAGCAUUUUUGUCCAAAUAUCUACAAUAUAGUGAGUCAUCCUACUAAACCAAACAGAAAAAGAAAGUUAGGACAAAGAAGGUUGGACUGUUUUAAAGACAUUCAAAAUAAUCCCAAUCAGCAGCAUCUAGUGAUAAAUGAGGCAGUUCAGCAGAAGGAGAGGAAGCACAAAGUGUUACCACAAUAGGUAUAUAAAGAUGCAUUUUGGACAGUUAUGGCAAUUAAAGCAUUUGAAAUAAAAUGCUAGGGAUGUAGGAGGAGAACAUGAGGAAAGAAAAUGUCUUGAUGUUUUCUAGUCUUCACCCACCCCCAAAGGGCCCACCCCCCUCCCCCGGCCCAACCCCUCAACCCAGCCAUCUGAUCCUUGUCCCAAUAAUCAUCAUUCACUGGCCUUCUGACUUCGCAUCAGAUGAACACGUUCAAUCAGUUCUCUCCAUCCUGGUCAAUCGCACGGAACAUAGGCAGUAUGAGCACCCUUGGGAGAGAACGAUCUGCCAAGGUCACAGGAGCCCUAAAGGUCUGUGGCCAGCACAUCCAUCCUCAGAUCCUGAUCCUUUUGACUUCUCACUUAGCCAGAAAGCUAGGGAGUGACCAUAUCCUGUACCUUCCAAGGUCAUUCUACCUGUUGGACUUGGGAAUUAAUGCCAGUCACCCAGAAACUGCCAAUUCACCUUCCUCAGAAGGGCUCUCAGUUCUGAACUUCCUGAACUACCUUAGGCCCAGAAGCAUUUUUAUAAAUAUUAUUUAUAUCUCAUUCCCUUUAUUUAGGGGGGAACUGGGGAAGGGAGCUUGAGCUUUGGAUCAAAUCCAGGACAGGCCACUUAUUAGCCUUCUAAGCUUAUUCACCCAGCUGAGCCUUGAUCUGCUCAUUUAUAAGGCAGAGAAAACGCUGCUGACCACCUGCUAUGUCCCAGGUACAUCCUCCCUGCCAUAUUUGUACUGAGGGAUUGACCUGUGUCCUUCGCAAGUGAUGUUUUUGCAUUUAUCUGGGGAAAGACGGAAGCACACAGGAGUGACUGUCAUGGUGAGAGGAUAGGGAACUUGUGAACAGUCAUCAAAUUGCUCCUGGAGGGGGCCGCCUGUUCUAAUUCUGAGCCGCUAAGCCCAGCUAGCUCCAGCAUCAGCCCCAAAGCCCAGAGGAAAUAGCCAGGAUCAAGUCUAAAAUUGCUCUUUCUUUCACGUCUCUCCCAACAUGCCCAGCCUCGGAGAGGGAACUUCACCACGUCUCCCUCUGAUCCUGCCCUUCCAUGGCUCAUGAGACAUGUUUCUUUUCUCCUCUCCAUUCCUAAGACUUUCUCAUACGCCAUCAUCUGUCACAGGAAUGUUAACAGCUCAGAGUAAACCAGCUUUAAUUCUAAGGAUUAUUUUCCUCUAUCGGCUUGAAAAAAAAAAAAAAAAGGAAAAAGGCAGGGAAAAUUCUGCUGUCUCUCCUUCAAGAAGGGUAAAUACUAGGGGCACGAAGAGACAGUGUGGGAGACCUUGGGACAAUUGGCUGCAAAGAUCUGCAAGCUCAGGUUCACAUUAGUGUCCAAAUGUUAAAUAAACAAACAGAUGGCUUGUCUCGUGGAUGUUGAUUCAUUUCUCAGCUCUGCAUUGGCCGUGUUUGAAAAGAACUGCCACUGACAGCUGAGUAUAUGCCAUGCUCCUUCCCACAGAGGCCUGCAGUCCGCUCACCUCGGUCAGGCACUCCAACCCAGUUCUUCAAAGAUGCAGUGGGAGUGGGUGGCCUCUUCUCAAAAUUUCCGCGGUCUAACAGAUACUGCCUGUUUAUCCACAGUAAGACUGCACUAGCUGCCAGCACAUCAAACCUCUUCACUUUGGCCUGAAAUGCAUAUUAACCCAGGCUGGCUGUGUUUGUCAUUUCCAAGUAGCUAGAAACCUAACUUAGCAACAGGGGUCUCUGAUUAAUACCAAACAGGCAAGGCUUUAUUUGAUUAAAUAAAGCUAAUUUGUUGGAUAGGUGGAAAUCUCUCAAAUAUAGGCUGGAGACAGGAGGUGAGCUUGGCGGAGAGACAAAUGGAAAUAGUCUUUCGUGACUUUACGAUAGAGCAUUUCAGCUCUCCUACAUUCAGGCAGUAAAACGUACCUUCAGAAAACCCUAGAGGGAAAGCACUAGUGCCUUCCUAAGGGGGAAGAGUGAAGUUAAUGGUCCAAACUACCACCCUCCUGCAUGCCUGAAAAGGUCAAAUUGUGGCUUCAUCUAAGGCUGGGCAGGCUUCCAAUCAGGCUGCUGAAAGGAUGAAAUUCUGCUUUUUCUAGAAGAAAGAGGACGAAGAAAGGAAUAGCGUCAGUGGGGAAUUUCAUUCCUGGCAGGCCACGAAGUGUUAAAUCCCCUCUUGGUUCCUCCGCCUCAUAUUUGUUUCCUGCAUCUUGUUGAUGGAGCCAGAAGGAGCAGAAGCAGAAACAGCAGGCAGUUACCAGCUGGUGCUGAGGUGGCGUGAGCCCUUCCCAACACAAGGUGGCAGCACGAGGCCGCGUUUGAAGCAAAGGCCCGCCCUGAGGGCGGCCCUCCCCCACCCCCACCCCAAGAGGUUUAGAUUCCCCUUGAAUUUUAACCAAUGGUACUACAUCCUUUGUCUUCAGAAGGACAGAAAUAGAUUUCUUCCUCCCCUCUAAUUGAUUUUAAGUUUCCUUUUGUUCAAGCUCUGCUAAAAAGAAGAGAGAGUCCUAUUUCAAGGGUUGACCUGCUUGAAACUCCUAUUAAGUGGGCCAAAUAAUUAUACCCCAAAGACAAGCCUGUGCUCUGAAAACCACUCAGCAUUCUCAGGAGCGAUGUCUGUGUUCCGUUCACCCGCUGACGGGCCGCCAGGGAACAAGCAUCUCCCUUGGGGAGGUUUUAGCUUCCUAGUCCAAACCAAAUUGUUUGUUGAACAAGAAUCACCUGCUUCUACCUUCCUCGCAGAACUUGGUGUAUUUUAAAAGGUGAUAAAUUUGCCCUUUAGCUUCAAGGUCCUAGAACUAUAUACUCAAUUACCUUUUUUUAAGUAACAUCCUUUAAUGAAGAUACACAGCCUCAAAUGUGUAUUUGGUUAUUUAUUCAAUAAAUAAACAGUAUUAUUUACUGUUUUCAUGGCCUUCCUUUCAUACUAACUCCCUGUGGCUUA